rnacentral:rRNA from 1 species
UACGAAGGUCCCAAGCGUUGUUCGGAAUUACUGGGCGUAAAGAGUGCGUAGGCGGUUUUCUAAGUUUGGUGUGAAAUCUCCCGGCUUAACUGGGAGGGUGCGCCGAAGACUGGAAGGCUUGAGUAUGGGAGAGGUAAGCGGAAUUCCUGGUGUAGCGGUGAAAUGCGUAGAUAUCAGGAGGAACACCUGCGGUGUAGACGGCUUACUGGACCAUAACUGACGCUGAGGCACGAAAGCGUGGGUAGCAAACAGG